GAGGAAUAUUGGUCAAUGGGCGAGAGCCUGAACCAGCCAAGUAGCGCGCAGGAUGACGGCCCUAUGGGUUGUAAACUGCUUUUAUACAGGAAUAAAGUUAGCCACGUGUGGUUCUUUGUAGGUACUGUAUGAAUAAGGACCGGCUAAUUCCGUGCCAGCAGCCGCGGUAAUACGGAAGGUCCAGGCGUUAUCCGGAUUUAUUGGGUUUAAAGGGAGCGUAGGCCGUCUGUUAAGCGUGUUGUGAAAUGUAGAUGCUCAACAUCUGAAUUGCAGCGCGAACUGGCAGACUUGAGUGUGCGCAACGUAGGCGGAAUUCGUGGUGUAGCGGUGAAAUGCUUAGAUAUCACGAAGAACCCCGAUUGCGAAGGCAGCUUACGGGAGCACAACUGACGCUGAAGCUCGAAAGUGCGGGUAUCGAAC
rnacentral:rRNA from 1 species